rnacentral:misc_RNA from 1 species
GAUGAAGAACGUAGCGAAAUGCGAUAAGUAAUGUGAAUUGCAGAAUUCAGUGAAUCAUCGAAUCUUUGAACGCACAUUGCGCCCCUUGGUAUUCCGAGGGGCAUGCCUGUUCGAGAGUCAUUAUAACCCCUCAAGCUUAGCUUGGUGUUGGGGCCUGCUGUAAUAGAGCAGCCCUUAAAAUCAGUGGCGGUGCCAUUAGGCUCUAAGCGUAGUAAUUCUUCUCGCUAUAGGGUUCUGGUGGAUGCUUGCCAUUAACCUCUAAUUUUCUAUGGUUGACCUCGGAUCAGGUAGGGAUACCCGCUGAACUUAAGCAUAUCAAUAAGCGGAGGA